AAGUGAUUUGCCCAGAGUCACACAACUAGUAAAUGUCUCAGGCAAGAUUUGGACUCAGCCCUUCCUAAUUCCAUUUCCAGAGCUCUACCCACCACAUAACCUACAUGAUCCAUCUUCUUCCAUGUCUGGUCCACAAGAUCAUACCCUUUCCUGCUGGCAGUUCAGACUAGUGACUGCCUUUUUGUCAUUUACAGAGAUCCAGUUGCUAGACAUUUACCAGCCCUUCCUACAAAUAACUGAAGAGGUUGAACAAGUUUAACUACUUACUAAAUGACGUACUCAGGCUCCUAGCUCCCA
rnacentral:lncRNA from 1 species